AGCACCCGUGACUCAGAGCGGUAUUUGCAUAUCCUUGAUCAAGGAAAAAAAAAAGUGACUGGGAGCUCAAGAAGAGCGGGAUCUGGGAAGAGGCAAAAAGAAAAGUAUAGUCAGAAGUGGGUGAGGCUUUCCUCCCCUGGAACGUGCUGCUUUGCACCUGGAAAUGUCUGCCUAGGCACAGCCCCACCACCGCCCACUCUCCUCCCCAUGCUGGAUAUUCCCAUGCAGGCUGAUACAAGCAAGCAGAGACUGUGGGAUCUGGCUUUACCCUGUCUGGGCAAGAUGACUUUCUCAAGAUCAUCUUACACAUCCAUGCUAAUGCAGACAACAGAGGUUUUGUUACUCCCACAUUCUCCUUCUCUCUGCAGACCCUGGACACACAUCCUUUGGUUAUCUGCAUGAAUAGAAGGAUGCAAAAUGCCUCUCCGUCUGAUUCAGUUUCUACCAGAGGUCCUCCAGUUUGGAAAGUCCCUGUUGAAGCUUCAGUGCCAAGAUAUUGUCCAAAAUCCAGAGGAGGAAGAAGGCCCUGGCGCUUCUGGAGACCUGCGCUUCCGAAUCUUUGAGGGUUGCUUCCAGCUCCGGAAUUAUACAAAGUAACCCAAGCUCCACCAAGCAACUAUGAAUUAUGGAAGCAAAGGUCACUUGGAACUGGGAAUCGUGAAUUAUUUUAUUAUUGGC
rnacentral:lncRNA from 1 species